GACGAACGCUGGCGGCGUGCUUAACACAUGCAAGUCGUACGGUAAGGCCCUUUCGGGGGUACACGGGUGGCGAACGGGUGAGUAACACGUGAGUAACCUGCCCACAACUUUGGGAUAACGCUAGGAAACUGGUGCUAAUACUGGAUAUGUGCUCCUGCUGCAUGGUGGGGGUUGGAAAGCUCCGGCGGUUGUGGAUGGACUCGCGGCCUAUCAGCUUGUUGGUGGGGUAGUGGCCUACCAAGGCGGCGACGGGUAGCCGGCCUGAGAGGGUGACCGGCCACAUUGGGACUGAGAUACGGCCCAGACUCCUACGGGAGGCAGCAGUGGGGAAUAUUGCACAAUGGGCGCAAGCCUGAUGCGGCAACGCCGCGUGCGGGAUGACGGCCUUCGGGUUGUAAACCGCUUUCAGCAGGGACGAAGCUUUUUGUGACGGUACCUGCAGAAGAAGCACCGGCUAACUACGUG
rnacentral:rRNA from 1 species